CCUACGGGCGGCAGCAGUGGGGAAUAUUGGACAAUGGGGGCAACCCUGAUCCAGCCAUGCCGCGUGUGUGAAGAAGGCCCUCGGGUUGUAAAGCACUUUCAGUGAGGAAGAACGCCUGGUGGUUAAUACCCAUCAGGAAAGACAUCACUCACAGAAGAAGCACCGGCUAACUCCGUGCCAGCAGCCGCGGUAAUACGGAGGGUGCGAGCGUUAAUCGGAAUUACUGGGCGUAAAGCGCGCGUAGGUGGCUUGAUAAGCCGGUUGUGAAAGCCCCGGGCUCAACCUGGGAACGGCAUCCGGAACUGUCAAGCUAGAGUGCAGGAGAGGAAGGUAGAAUUCCCGGUGUAGCGGUGAAAUGCGUAGAGAUCGGGAGGAAUACCAGUGGCGAAGGCGGCCUUCUGGACUGACACUGACACUGAGGUGCGAAAGCGUGGGUAGCAAACAGGAAUAGAUACCCCUGUAGUC
rnacentral:rRNA from 1 species